rnacentral:rRNA from 1 species
GACGAACGCUGGCGGCGUGCCUAACACAUGCAAGUCGAGCGAAGCGGGGACGGGUGAGUAACACGUGGAUAACCUCCUAUCAGACUGGGAUAACUCCGGGAAACCGGAGCUAAACCGGAUAAUUAUAGAUGGAUCCGCGCUGCAGUAGCUAGUUGGUAAGGUAACGGCGUACCAAGGCAACGAUUCAUAGCCGACCUGAGAGGGUGAUCGGCCCCACUGGAACUGAGACACGGUCCUGCCUCCUACGGGAGGCAGCAGUGGAGAAUCUUCCGCAAUGGGCGAAAGCCUGACGGAGCGACGCCGCGUCAGUGAUUGAGGUCUUCGGAUCGUAAACCUCUGUUAUUAGGUAAGCGUUACCUGCUGAGAAAGCCACGGCUAACUACGUGCCAGCAGCCGCGGUAAUAC